rnacentral:tRNA from 1 species
UUCCUGCUGGUCCAGUGGUUAGGACUUGGUGUUUUCACUGCCAAGGGCCCAGGUUCAAUCCCUGGUCAGGGGA